CAAUAGCGUAUAUUAAAGUUGUUGCGGUUAAAAAGCUCGUAGUUGGAUUUCUGCCGAGGACGACCGGUCCGCCCUCUGGGUGUGUAUCUGGUUUGGCCUGGGCAUCUUCUUGGAGAACGUAGCUGCACUUGACUGUGUGGUGCGGUGUCCAGGACUUUUACUUUGAGGAAAUUAGAGUGUUUCAAGCAGGCACACGCCUUGAAUACAUUAGCAUGGAAUAAUAAGAUAGGACCUCGGUUCUAUUUUGUUGGUUUGCACACCAAGGUAAUGAUUAAUAGGGACAGUUGGGGGUAUUCGUAUUUAAUUGUCAGAGGUGAAAUUCUUGGAUUUAUGAAAGACGAACUACUGCGAAAGCAUUUACCAAGGAUGUUUUCAUUAA
rnacentral:rRNA from 1 species